rnacentral:rRNA from 1 species
UACGGAGGGUGCAAGCGUUAUCCGGAUUCACUGGGUUUAAAGGGUGCGUAGGUGGGUCUGUAAGUCAGUGGUGAAAUCUCUGAGCUUAACUCGGAAACUGCCAUUGAUACUAUAGGUCUUGAAUCAUCUGGAGGUAAGCGGAAUAUGUCAUGUAGCGGUGAAAUGCUUAGAUAUGACAUAGAACACCAAUUGCGAAGGCAGCUUACUACGGGUGUAUUGACACUGAGGCACGAAAGCGUGGGGAUCAAACAGG